AAACGAUGCCAACCAGUAAUUCGCCUGAGUUCUUUAAAUGACUCGGCGAGGGACUUCCGGGAAACCAAAAUCUUUCGGUUCCAGGGGAAGUAUGGUUGCAAAGCUGAAACUUAAAGAAAUUGACGGAAGGGCACCACCAGGAGUGGAGCCUGCGGCUUAAUUUGACUCAACACGGGAAAACUUACCCGGCCCGGACACUGGCAGGAUUGACAGAUUGAGAGCUCUUUCUUGAUUCAGUGGGUGGUGGUGCAUGGCCGUUCUUAGUUGGUGGAGCGAUUUGUCUGGUUAAUUCCGAUAACGAACGAGACUCUAGCCUACUAAAUAGGCCACCGGCUUACAUACGUCGGUGGGACUUCUUAGAGGGACAGGCGGCGAUUCAGCCGCACGAAACAGAGCAAUAACAGGUCUGUGAUGCCCUUAGAUGUCCGGGGCCGCACGCGCGCUACACUGAAGUGAUCAGCGUGCAUUUUCCACCUGCUCCGUCAGGAGUGGGGAACCCAAUGAACCUUCUUCGUGAUUGGGAUAGGGGAUUGUAAUUAUUCCCCUUGAACGAGGAAUUCCCAGUAAGCGCGAGUCAUAAGCUCGCGUUGAUUACGUCCCUGCCCUUUGUACACACCGCCCGUCGCUACUACCGAUUGAA
rnacentral:rRNA from 1 species